rnacentral:tRNA from 1 species
GAUUUGUUUAGCUGGUUCAAAGCAUCCCGAUGUAAUCGGGAGGGUCGGGGGUUCGAACCCCUUUCCGAG